AUAAUAAUUCAUAGCGUACUUAUUGAGAUUUUAUAAAUUUCAUUCUAUGAUAAGUUCUUCCUUCAGGCAACUGAUGGUUCAAGACAAUCAACGUGGAGAUGACAAUGAGGCUAGGAUUAAUAAAUUGUGUUGUGUUUAAAACACAACUUUGAAUUUCAAAUUUAAUUGUUAUGUAGGAAUUAUUUUCUUUCUUCCAUUUUUCACAACUACGUGAUAAACCAAAAUUUAUUUACUUAUUAAAGAAAAAUAAAAAGAUUAUUUCAUGUCCUUAUUUUAGUUCUUAUGAAAGAAUUAAGUUUUAUUUAGUGACUCUUAAAUAGUCAAGGAUUCUGACCGUCACAGCUAUUGUGAAUCUAAAUGUUUACAAGAAAUUCUUGAGUUUUUUUGUUAUUGUCUUUUAGGUUUCGGUAUCUGAACAUUGAUGGGGUUUCGACUUUGUACAAUAUGUUUCUGGGUAUUUUUAUUUUAGAUAUGAUGAGUGCUUUACUCGCGAAUUUUAUUCCUUUUUAACUUAUUAUGAGAUAGAUCUCAUGAGUAAUGAACGUUUUUAAUGUGCUUAUUAGUGUUUGUUUUGUAAAAGUGAUGAGAUGGAACAAAACUAUCGGCAUGGAAUGAGGUGAAAAGAGGAACGAAUGAGGCAAAACAAUUAAACCCCAACACCAAGGAAGGAAGAAUAGCGCAACACCAAGGAAGGAAGAGUGGCUCUCCGAUGCCACAAAACCCAAAUAGUAAUUUGGUGAGGAUGGGUUGGGAUAGGUGAGUAAGAAGACAAGUUGUAAAGGUUUUAGAUUGUGGGUGGUACACAUAAAAGAUUUUUGUGUAAUUUGCAAAAAAUAAAAAGUUU
rnacentral:lncRNA from 1 species